AUUGAACGCUAGCGGGGUGCUUUACACAUGCAAGUCGAACGAGUGGCGGACGGGUGAGGAAUAGAUCGGCACGUGCCCAGUAGAGGGGGAUAACUACUAGAAAGAGUGGCUAAUCCCGCCUAAUGUUGGUGCGGCCGUUUUUGGAUUAGCUAGUUGGGGGGGUAAAGGCUAACCAAGGCAACGAUGCGUAGCUGGUUAGAGAGGACGACCGGCCACACGGGGAAUGAGAUAAGGACCAGACUCCUAAGGGAGGCAGCAGUGGGGAAUUUUGGACAAUGGGGGAAACUCUGAUCCAGCCAGCCCGCGUGAAUGAGAAGGCCUUCGGGUUGUAAAGUAAUUUUGGCAGAGAAGCGGUAUCUAAAGAAUAAGCACCGGCUAACUACGUGCCAGCAGCCGCGGUAAUUC
rnacentral:rRNA from 1 species